GAUGUCUUUUUCAAUUACUUCUAAUAAUUCUACCACUGUACCAGUGAAUAUUAUUACUUCAAUAUUAUUUAUUAGUGCAGUAAUUGCCAAGACAGAAGACUGCAAUACGAACUCGUACUCGUAGCAGCAGCAAUGCCAAGAAGAGCAGGCAGCGUAGCAAAAGCAGUCACAACAACGCAGACGCAAUAACAUUUUCAGCAGCCGUUCAUCUCAGAGGGGAUGCAGCGCCAAACUGCGAGGGUGAGGUGGUAACUCUCACAACCAAUGCCUCCGCAGGUUCAUCGUUAGCUACCCCACAGCUGAGUGCCAUACUGGUCAUGACGUAACUACAGAAACAGGAAAACUUGCCGGGGAGCUGAGCGAAAGGCAAGAACUUUAUACCUGUGCAUGGCCAUGAUCCCAUGUACAAACAGCCCCAGAGAGUACCCAUGCGUGCUGUACCCAGCGUGUGGCGCACGGCAGUCGGCCCAACAACAGCACGCGAGCAAGGUAUGUUCAAUUUGUAAAGAUGUUCCCAUCCAUCAACCUCCGCUCAGAACGAGCUAAGAAUCGUGGACAGCUUAUCAAGGACAAGGUUGAACUAGCUGGUGUCGACUUGACUGACCUGGGCAAGAAGCUGUUUGCCCUCAAGGCAUGGGCAUCCGCGCACACGAAGGUGCCCCGCGCCAAGGCUAAGAAAAAGACAUAGACUACGUGUUCGCAUGGCUCUUUGUACAUUCACAGUUGAGUGCCUCGUUUAUGUGUGUAUGUUUAAAUCAUGUACACCCUCUGAUGGGAGUAUGAUAAUGUAGUCAUCUAGGACGGCUGGACUGUCCCUAGUGUUCCAAGUGCAUAUUGACGCUAACCUCCAAUGUUAUAUCCAGCAAGUAUCAGAUCUGCACUAUCGCACAUAGAACUGGUGUAUAUUUCUUUACUGUGUUGACUCACUACCCUACUAGCCACAGUCAUAUUUAUAUCAACAAUAACGUGGGCACCGCAUUAUUUUUUGUUUAGGAGCUGUCGGUAUGCCGGUAGCAUGGGUCACGCUAGUGCAAAAUAGGCUAGACUACAUGCAGCCAAGAACCAGGCACUAUUCCAUCCAAGAAAUAGUGGGAGUAACUAUCCUGAUGCCUUGCAACAUGUCCAAACCACUUCAACUUGAUGCUUGGUAACGAGAGAGCUUGGAAGCUCAGGGCCCUACGCUAUGCUUUUUUGCCUUGAUGACCGAGACAAAAAAAAGCAUAGGGACCGGAUGUCAUAAAUUCUUAUAAGUUUCUACUUUUUGUUUUUAGACAUAUUAAACCUGGGAUUCGAACCCGCACUAUCGCCCUGCAUGCAUCCCCCGAUACACUUCGCAUACAUACUAUUUCUUUCAAGUUGCUUCACGUUAUGAUCUUGUAUUUGAAAGCCCUAUUGGAAUAUGCAUUGUGGCCAGCCG